rnacentral:rRNA from 1 species
UACGAAGGGGGCUAGCGUUGUUCGGAAUUACUGGGCGUAAAGCGCGCGCAGGCGGUCUUCCAAGUCAGUGGUGAAAGCCCGGAGCUCAACUCCGGAACUGCCAUUGAAACUGUUAGACUUGAGGAUGAGAGAGGUGAGUGGAAUUCCCAGUGUAGAGGUGAAAAUUCGUAGAUAUUGGGAAGAACACCGGUGGCGAAGGCGGCUCACUGGCUCAUUACUGACGCUCAUGCACAAAAAGCGUGGGGGGAGCAAAACAGG